AUGAACUGCCUUAAUGUGCUUGUCCAAAUUGGAUUCCUGAAAUUCAAAAUGUGGAGCAUGAAAAACAGAGCAGUUUUGCGAUUUAUUGCAGACAGCAACAAAUCCAUGAAAAAGAGUCAGACAUGUGAGAUUGCAAAUCACACCUUUGAAAAUGAGCACUUGCAGUCCUCAAUGUGGCAUUUAAUUCUCAGUGACAAAUAUAUAUUUUUUGAAAUGUGGGCAAAAGCUUUGCCCGUUCCAUUAAUUAAGAAGAAGAUUGAUGCUCAGUUAAUUACGGAAAAUUGGGCAAAAACGGAUACAACAAGGGCUAAGCCCACUUCCAAACAUCGAUACUCACAGCACCAAGCCCACUCUCGCCAAUGA
rnacentral:rRNA from 1 species